rnacentral:lncRNA from 1 species
GGGCUAGCUGGUGGACUCGGCAUCCAUAUGACCUGGUGCCUGGGGAAUUGCCUUCUCAUGGAGAGAUCAUCGACCGAUCUUGUAGCAGUCAUCCUCUGUUCCCGCCAUGUGUGAUGCAUCACGCUCAAUCCACAUUAAUUACCACGAAAGAUUCUCCGAUCGACAUCCCCAUCCCAUCAUGUUUUUUUUUUCGGGUGUCAUCCCAUCAUGUGUUGUGGUGGUGCAACUUUGAUUCCCUGAAGACUAAUCUUUGGCACAUCGUGGCGAAAGGUUUUAACACUUUGUCUUCUUCACCAGGCAGCAGCGGAGACGCCGGAGAGCACGUUUUGUCAGUGCCCUUUCCAUCUCUUCCUUUCGGGUCGGGUGUGCACGUGGUUGAUGAAUCGCUGGGAUAGAUUUCUCUUGUUUGUUUAUGAUGAUCUGUUGACGAGGACAGAGGAAGAGAAGAUGGGUCGUG